ACGGAGGGUGCAAGCGUUAAUCGGAAUUACUGGGCGUAAAGCGCGCGUAGGCGGCUUCGUCAGUUGGGUGUGAAAGCCCCGGGCUUAACCUGGGAACUGCAUUCAAUACUGCGAGGCUAGAGUAUGGGAGAGGGUUGUGGAAUUCCACGUGUAGCGGUGAAAUGCGUAGAUAUGUGGAGGAACAUCAGUGGCGAAGGCGGCAGCCUGGCCCAAUACUGACGCUGAGGUGCGAAAGCGUGGGGAUCAAACAGG
rnacentral:rRNA from 1 species